GAUGAACGCUAGCUACAGGCUUAACACAUGCAAGUCGCGGGGCAGCAUGGGGGUUGCUUGCAAUCCCCGAUGGCGACCGGCGCACGGGUGAGUAACGCGUAUCCAACCUGCCCUUCACCACGGGAUAACCCGGCGAAAGUCGGACUAAUACCGUAUGUUGUCCAUUGACGGCAUCCGAUUUGGACGAAAGGCUUGGCGGUGAGGGAUGGGGAUGCGUCCGAUUAGCCAGACGGCGGGGUAACGGCCCACCGUGGCUACGAUCGGUAGGGGUUCUGAGAGGAAGGUCCCCCACACUGGAACUGAGACACGGUCCAGACUCCUACGGGAGGCAGCAGUGAGGAAUAUUGGUCAAUGGGCGUAAGCCUGAACCAGCCAAGUAGCGUGCAGGAUGACGGCCCUAUGGGUUGUAAACUGCUUUUAUGCGGGGAUAAAGUGGCCCACGUGUGGGCUUUUGCAGGUACCGCAUGAAUAAGGACCGGCUAAUUCCGU
rnacentral:rRNA from 1 species